GUUAACUAGCUCUUAUCUCUGUGAAAAUACAUACAGAAGGCCAGCCCAAGUGCAGCUAUGAUGGUAGAGUUGAGUAAUUGCCACAGAGACCAUCUAGCUAUCAAAACUUAAUGUGUGGCCCUUUGUCGAAACGCUGCUGACCACUGUGAGAAGAUAUUCUUCCAGUCUCAAGAAUUCCCCGGUGCCCCCGGCCACCUCCACCGGAUAAGAGGGGCAGAAGUCAGCACCGCCCCAAGGUGGUGUCGCCAGGACUCUCAUGGCCGACCCCACUUCUGCUCCAGAUGAGGAAACGAAGGCCCAGCCAGGGGAGCGGCUUGCCUGAGGUCCUCCAGUGCAUCGGUGCCAGACCAGGUCUUAGAGGCCAGGUUUCUGGAAUCUCAGCUUUCUGUCCUCCCCGGCCUAGCAUCUCACAGACUCCAGCUCUUUGCAGUUUGUGCAAGUUACCUUAAUAGUUUCUGACAUGCUGGCAUCUCACCUGCAUUAUUAUUUACUUCACAUUUAAACAGACUUUUUUUUUGUUUUACCUAAAUAAAUACAUUUAUUUUAAAAGAAAACCUCACAUCAUGACCAUAAAUGGGUAAAUGGUAUCAUGUAUCAUAAAUAGAAGGUUAGUGUAGAAAUGAUUACAGAACGAUUGACAUAAAUAAUCUUUGUAGACAGGAAUAAAGAUGCAGAUGUAGAGAAUGGACUUGAGGACACGGGGAGGGGGAAGGGUAAGCUGGGACAAAGUGAGAGAGUGGCAUGGACAUAUAUACACUACCAAAUGUAAAAUAGACAGCUAGUGGGAAGCAGCCGCAUAGCACAGGGAGAUCAGCUCGGUGCUUUGUGACCACCUAGAAGGGUGGGAUAGGGAGGGAGACGCGAGAGGGA